rnacentral:rRNA from 1 species
GCAAUCCUUUUCCAAAACACCUGUGAACCUAGUGAGAAUAAGGGGGAAAGGGGAGUUUCUGUCUCUUCUUAUCUCUUUGUCUCAUGAUUCAUAAACGCUACUUGUGAUGUUGAAUGUGUUCGUGCCGUCAAGGCUUUAACAUAAUACAACUUUUGACAACGGAUCUCUUGGCUCUCGCAUCGAUGAAGAACGCAGCGAAAUGCGAUAAGUAAUGUGAAUUGCAGAAUUCAGUGAAUCAUCGAAUCUUUGAACGCACCUUGCGCUCCCUGGUAUUCCGGGGAGCACGCCUGUUCGAGUGUCUUGAAACUAUCAAGCCAGGAUGGUUUGUACCUUCCUGGCUUGGUUUAUUGGGCUUUGCCGUGUCCUUCAUUGGAACGGCUGGCCUUAAAAGUAUUAGCCGACUCCAUGUGGUUAUUGGUAUUCUACUUGGCGUGAUAAUAAUGUGACCGCUGAGAAAGUAUGUAUCCCUUUGGGGAUGGCCAAUUCUCAUGUGGGGGUUGCUUCUAAUCUUGGAGCUUCCUGUUCCACUUUUCAACUUUGGCCUCGAAUCAGGUGGGACUACCCGCUGAACUUAAGCAUAUCAAUAAGCGGAGGAAAAGAAACUAACAAGGAUUCCCCUAGUAACGGCGAGUGAAGCGGGAAAAGCUCAAAUUUAAAAUCUGGCAGCC